ensembl:lncRNA LINC02822 long intergenic non-protein coding RNA 2822
GGGGGAUGGGGAAGAGAUGGCAUUGGUGAUUCAAGACUCUUUGCUAUCCUCUUCAAUGCCUCUUUCAGUGUAGGAAGUUAAAAUCAGUUAUGUAAUGGAAUUGAAUGAAGCAAGUGUCAGAUCUACAUCUCUACAAACACUCACUUUAUCAGUUCAGAGAAUAAAGAGAUGAAUUUAAUAAUGCCACUGGACACUUAUACUCUAUCGGAUCCUAAUAAUUUCUCACACUAAUGAAUUCUUCUAUCAACUUCAUGUUAAUCAAGAGGAGACAGAGCCAAGAAGUGAGUAAUUGCUUACUGAAUUGUGAAAGCUGGGAUGAUUUAACUACAGCCUCCCUAGAAUGUGACAGUCCACAGAAAUAUCUGAUUUCAAAGAGAUGCUUGCAUUCUGUACUGAUGCCAUCUAGAAUUGUAAAUGACCAGUGUCACACUGCUAAGUGGAGAAAGCGUGAAAGAAGAAUCCCAUCAGUACAUUCACGAUAGAGGAAAUAAGAAACAAUGAAAGCCACAAGUAAGUCCUGAGUUGAUCAACAGUAUUGCACUUCUCCAGGUUUACUCGAAGGCAGCAAAAUUGGCCCUACUCCCAACCCUGCAACAUGCACCAUUUCCAUAAACAAUCUACAGAGAUGGCUGAGAAAAAGAAAAAGGGGUACUCUCCUUUACCCCUUCUCCAAAGCCCGAUGAAGUAAAGAGUAGAAAUCAAGAGUGUCUACAAGAAUUGGGGAUUGGCAUUGAUUCUCCACUGUGUGAUUACUCAUGCUUUAUGGCAAUGUGCCUAUUUAAAGGGCAGGUAAUGACUUAGCAAGAAGGAAGGAGAGAGAAUGUCAAACUCACCUGAAGUCUUACCAAUUGGUGUGGCAGUGCAGUCCUACAGCUCCGUUAUGAUAAUCCUCCAGAUGAAGCUAUGUUCAAGACUGGACUAGAUCUUGUGCUAUAAAGCCACACUGGAACCAUCUCCAAUUCCCCACCUUGCUUCAGUUUUAUAUUCUUGCAGAUAGCCUCUUUGAAUCCAUCAGGUAAGAACACAGAAAUUUAAAAUUGUGUCUUUUAUGAGUCUAAUUACAUUCUAAAUUUACAUUUUUCUUCUCUGAGUCUCUAUUUUCGUUUUGUAUGUAUAUAAUCAUCUAACCAUCACAACAAUCAAGACAUAAAGUAUUUCCACCUCCCCCUCAAAAAUUCUUUCAUGUUCCUUUGUCAUCAAUCCUCUGCUGCCAUCUCCGCCCCUGGAAAGUACUGAUUUGAUUUCAGUUACCAUAGGUUUACCUUUCCCGAAUAUGACAUAAGGAAUGAAGUCUGUUGAGUCUGACUUCAUUCACUUAGCAUAAUUCUAUGUAGAUUCAUCUGUGUUUUUGUGUAUAGUAGUAGUUUUUCUUUGUUACUGAGAAGCAUAUACAUACAUAUAACACAAUUUGUUUAUUCCUCAUUUGGUGAACAAUGGGUUAUUUCCAAUUUUCGGAUAUUAUGAAGAAAUAUCUAAAAAAUCAUUCACAUACAGUUAUUUUCAUGACUAUACAUAUUCUUUCUAUUUAAAAAAAUAGCUUGGAGUGGGAUUGCAGGACUAUCUGAUAUAUAUGUAGGUUUAACUUUAUAAAAAACUGCCAAGCUGUUUUCCAAAAUAUCUGUACUACCUUGCAUUUCUACCAGCAAUGUUGAGAGUUCCAGUUACUUUUUAUGUUCAACAGCAGUUGUAUUUGUUUUAGUUUUAGCCAUUAUAGUACAUAUGUAGUAGUAUCUCACUUUGGAAUUUAUAUGUAUUUAUCUAAUGAUUAGUUAUGUUGAGAAUGUUCUUAUG